rnacentral:hammerhead_ribozyme from 1 species
GCACUACUGAGGAGUCCCAUACUAAGACGAAACGGCCGUUCAGUAC